rnacentral:lncRNA from 1 species
UAAUUAAAAAUAAAUUUUUAUUUAUUAAUUAAAACUUAAAUUACAAAUAAAUAUAACACUAAACCAGAAUUAAAAAAUUAAAUACACCAAAACACAUUAAACCAAAACUAAUUAAACACACAUAAAACCAAACCUAAUUAACAAAACCUAAACCUAAGCCGCUGCAUAUCAGCUGCGCCUUCGUCUCCGUCACCACAGCGCUUCAACGUCACCAUCUUCCAGCCACAUACCACUUCUUCUACACCGACGCCGCAACCGGCUCUGGAUGCUAUGGCUGAAGAAAUGAUUCAAUCUGGUGUUGGAGCCACCGUUCGAGCCAAAUCUUCCGUUUCCUCCAUAGAAUCUCAUGUCUUCUCCACAUUCUAAAAAAAACAAAUCAGUAUGUAAACACAUACACGAUGAAUUUUAUCAACAGAUCUAAGAUAUAAUCAACAGAUGGAGGUGGUGGCGCCUCCUUCUCCUCUGCCAAAUCUUCUGUCUCCUCCGUAAAUUCUCAUGUCUCCUCCACAUUCCAAAACAGCAAAUCAGUAUGUAGACAAAUAAAAAAUGAAUCUUAUCAACAGUUCUAAGGAGAGUCAAACGAAAACAACUUACACAAAUUCGGAAAUAAAGGAGACAGAUUUCGUUUUAGCUGAUGGGAUUGAGACAUGAACCAACGAGGUGAGAAGUGGAGUCCUUCGUAAAAGAUGGAGAAUUUUUCUGGGUUUCUUAGGGUUUAUUCCAGAGAAGAAGAAAAGAUGGAUUCAUUUUUUUUUUCAAGUUUACGACGGUAGAAGAGGAGAGGAGCAGAGAUCGAGAAAGAGAGGAAACCAUUAAAAAAAGAAGCAAAUAUU